GAUGAACGCUGGCGGCGUGCUUAACACAUGCAAGUCGAACGGGAAAUAUUUCAUUGCGCCUUCGGUGGAUUUGAUUUAUUUCUAGUGGCGGACGGGUGAGUAACGCGUGGGUAACCUGCCUUAUACAGGGGGAUAACAGUCAGAAAUGGCUGCUAAUACCGCAUAAGCGCACAGAGCUGCAUGGCUCAGUGUGAAAAACUCCGGUGGUAUAAGAUGGACCCGCGUUGGAUUAGCUAGUUGGUGGGGUAACGGCCCACCAAGGCGACGAUCCAUAGCCGGCCUGAGAGGGUGAACGGCCACAUUGGGACUGAGACACGGCCCAGACUCCUACGGGAGGCAGCAGUGGGGAAUAUUGCACAAUGGGGGAAACCCUGAUGCAGCGACGCCGCGUGAAGGAAGAAGUAUCUCGGUAUGUAAACUUCUAUCAGCAGGGAAGAUAGUGACGGUACCUGACGAAGAAGCCCCGGCUAACUACGUG
rnacentral:rRNA from 1 species